UACGGAGGGGGCUAGCGUUGUUCGGAAUUACUGGGCGUAAAGCGCACGUAGGCGGCUUUGUAAGUUAGAGGUGAAAGCCCGGGGCUCAACUCCGGAAUUGCCUUUAAGACUGCAUCGCUAGAAUUGUGGAGAGGUAAGUGGAAUUCCGAGUGUAGAGGUGAAAUUCGUAGAUAUUCGGAAGGAACACCAGUGGCGAAGGCGGCACUAGUGCUGUAUUGACGCUGAGGUGCGAAAGCGUGGGGAGCAACAGG
rnacentral:rRNA from 1 species